UCCCACGGGAUCCCGGGGGUCGCGGCUGGAGAGGCCGGACGCGCAGGCAAACUCCAGCGAGCGAGUGGUGGGGGACGUCUCCCUGCCCACCUCGCCGGGAGCCCAGCCACUUCCUCUACCACCGCUGGGCGGGCGCGGGGCUCGCGCCGGCGCUCCACACCAUUGUUCGAGACCCGCACCGAGCGCCCGGGACAGGGCCAGCGGCCGAGGGCAGGCGCCGGGAACGCGCCCAGCACGGGCGCCACGACCCUCCCUUCCUGCCUCCAGUCGCCGACUCCGGCGUUCAAUGGUCCCGCCCGGGUCGGGGAUGCUGCUGCCACGGCCGCCGCUCCUCCGCCCGCAGACACAGCUGCUACAGCCCGGCAGGCGAAAGGAAGAGCAGUCCAAACGCGAGUCCCCGCGGCUGCUGGAAGAGUGAAGGCGGUGACGCUCAGACGCGCCCUGGGCACAGCUCCGGCGGAGUUUAGGUCUCCAGAGCAGGCGCCGCGAGGGGCCUCUGCCUCCCUGGCCGCGGGGCGCCGAGGCUGCUUUUCUCCGCGUCUCCCUUUCCGCUGCUGCCCCCAGGAGGCCGCUGGUGACAGGCACACUCGCACACACACGAGGGAGCCGCGCCCCCGGCGGCGCAAAGUUGUGGGUGCGCAAACGGCUCGCGCGUUUGCGGCGCCAGGCGAACAAUCUGCGGGCGGCGGCGGCCUGGGCGGCAGCUCGGGUCUUCUCCGGGCUGGGCGGGACUCGCGGGAGCUGACGGCGCUCCGGGCCGUGCCCUUCUCCGCCCAAGCCCCCGCCCCUGCUCAGCGAGGAAACGCGGGGCUGGUCCUGGAAGAUGGAUGCCUCUUGUGGCCAACCGCAGCCCAGCCCCGCGCGCAGAACCUAGGAGGCCGUGGGCGGCGCCCCCCGCACCUCCCUCCGCCGACGCUCAGCUCAGCCGCUGUCUCUGGUCGCGGCUCUAGGGGCAGGAAAACCCCUUCCCGACCCAAGGGACCGCCUUCGGGCUCUGGAGGGGGCCCUGGUGGGGCUUUUGCCAGAAUCUAA
rnacentral:lncRNA from 1 species